UCACAUGCUGAGACGAACAAAUUGACUAGAAAAAUCUCCUACUUCUUAUUCAUAGAUCGUUUCGAUCAAGGAGAUAAAAAUGGCAUUUAUCUUGGAGUUUGCCGAGAACUUAAUUCUGAGGUUGAUGGAGGAUCCAGUUGAAAGAGAUCGCAAAUUCAGAGACCAUAUGUAUGAUCUAAGGGAACAUUGUGAGAAGACAAAAGAGAUGUGGAGCUACCCUAUUCGUCCUUACGGGUUCUGGACAUUUGACCGCCACAAUUCUCAGAUUUUCUGGGAUGCUCAGAUUAGCCAUGUCCGAGGUCGUAGGGACCCCUAUGAUGAUCUCCUGCGAGAGCACCAGGUUGGCUCAACCUCCAAAUAAAUUGAAAGAAGGUUGGUCCAAGCAGGUGAUGGCCCCCAGAUUCUGACAAAAUGUUGCACAACUUCGACUGCAGACGAGACUAAUAAAGUAGCGGUUGGAUCUUUUUGCCCUUGAAUCGUUGUUAUGCAACUGUUCAGUAGAGGCUUCGACUUUCCAAAUAAAAUUUUAAUUUGAGAA